ACGGACUGGAGACUGGCUCCCACACACAUCUCCGUGACCGCGUGGCCACUGCCUCCUAAGGGUCUUAUCUUUUCUAAUCCAUAUCACGGACUGGAGACUGGCUCCCACACACAUCUCCGUGACCGCGUGGCCACUGCCUCCUAAGGGUCUUAUCUUUUCUAAUCCACACCACUGACUGGAGAUCGGCUCCCACACACAUCUCCGUGACCGCGUGGCCACUGCCUCCUAAGGGUCUUAUCUUUUCUAAUCCAUAUCACGGACUGGAGAUCGGCUCCCACACACAUCUCCGUGACCGCGUGGCCACUGCCUCCUAAGGGUCUUAUUUUAUCCAGACUCCUGUACCUCUAUAAUCCACUAGACUUUUACAAAAUACAAGUGAGAUCAUGCCCCCCGCACUUAAAAUCUUUCACUGUCCACAAAAUAAAAAAUAAAUUAUUUAGCAAGGCAUAUAAAACCUGACCCGAUCUACCUAUGCAGCCCUGUCUCCCUCUGCUGCCUCCAAACUCCAUGAGACUCCCUCUUCCUUCUUUCCCCCAUUACUGUCACGUUGGUAAGAUCCCACCCAUUCUUUUAAGAUUCAGAUUAAAACAGAAUUUGUCUAUGACCCCUGCCCUCAGCCCCUGCUUCAGCCUAUCAAUUCCUCUUCUGAGAUCCUGCUAUGCCUUGUACAGCAUAUACCAGUUUUGUUACAUCUGUUAUACUGGAAUCUUCUAUUAAUGUCUUUCUUCUCCAUACAAAAAUGGUGAACUCUUUGAAGGCAGAGAGUGUGUAUUUCUUAUCUUUGUGCCUUCAGUCCCCAGCAC
rnacentral:lncRNA from 1 species